AGUGGGGCUAAUACCGGAUAAGACCACGUAACCAUGUUGCGGGGUAAAAGGUGGCUUAUUUUUUAAAUGAGCUAUCACUUGAGGAUGAGCCUGUGGCCUAUCAGCUUGUUGGCGGGGUAAAAGCCCACCAAGGUCUAUGACGCGGUAGCUGGUCUGAGAGGACGACCAGUUUUCACUGGGACUGAGACACGGNCCAGACUCCUACGGGAGGCAGCAGUGGGGAAUAUUGGGCAAUGGGCGAAAGCCUGACCCAGCGACGCCGCGUGGGCGAUGAAGGCCUUCGGGUUGUAAAGCCCUGUCAAGCGGAAGGAACGACCCUGUGACGCAUACUCACAGGGAGUGACGGUACCGCAGGAGGAAGCACCGGCUAACUCCGUGCCAGCAGCCG
rnacentral:rRNA from 1 species